GUGCCGCCUUCAUACCAGCAAUGUGGUGGAUGCCCGUCUGAUCAGCGGUUAAUGUAAGAGGACAGACCUUCAUCCUCUGCCUUUGGACAAGAAGAAAAUACAGCAUAGAAAGAGCAGAUAACCGCUCUUUCUCUCUUUAAAUCGUAGCGCUUUACCUCCAGCCCCCCUUACUGAGGAAAAUGUAUUGGAAAGUAUCUGGCACCGGAGCCUGUGAUGUCACUUCUGUCAUGACUCGUGUGCAUCUUCUGUGUUCAUAAGCACCUCUCAGCAAUAAACAACAGACAAAACGUUCAUUCUCUCAUCGAGACGGAUGUGAAAUCAGACGUGGCGUGUCACAAAGAGGCACCGAUGACCUUACAGCGCCUCUGAGAUGCCAAGCACCUUGUAUGCGAAAGCGGGGCAGAGAGCCCGGGCCUGCGGAGGCAGUUUUGUCAUCAGGGGUGUGGAGCUCAGAGAAGUGAAGAAAGAGAAGUAGAUACAUCGGUCAAAACUGUUACCACACACAGUGAACGCACACACACACACACACACACACACACAUGCAUGAGCUCUCAAAUGUAUCUAUCCAGAUGGCGUUUAACCUUCCACCCCCAUAUACACACACACAUACACAGCCUUUAAUUUCUGUCUUAAGCCAAAGUAUAUACUAUAGGACUGGACCACUUAGCCAAAUAUAUCUCAACCUUAAACAAACUCCAGGCACACACACACACACACACACACACACAAAUCUUGUAAUUAAAUUAUGUAAAAAUAUUUAAUAAAUAUAUUUAGUGGGAGAUCUUUGUCUCUCUGCUCAUAGAAACUUGGAAAAAAGUGGAAAAAAUAUAGUGUGUUGUGUGUCUGUUUAUAGUGUAGAUAACAUGUAUGAAUAGGCCUACUGUAUACAGACCAUUAUAUACACCAAUGUGUGUUUCAUCAAACAUUAACAAAUUAAUUAUGGUAAACCACUAUAUUGUCAAAAUGACCAAAUAUUGCGAUAUCAAGUUGUGGUUGACUAUGUCACUGUGAAAGCUUUACAAGGAACAAGAAAGAGUGAUCAAUUAAAGGUGAAUUGUGUAACGUUUAGGGAGGAUCUCUUGACCAAAAUGCAAUAUAAUAUAACUAUAUUAUCAGUGGUGUAUAAAGACCUUACAGAACUUACUAUGUUGUUUUUAUGACCUUAUGAGUCGUUUUUAUCUACAUACACCACAGCUGUGUCCCAAUUCAAAUGCUGCAACCUUAAGAACGUAUUUUUAAGACCGAUUGCGUCACAGGAGCGCAACUUGAGGCUAGUAAGGCCGUCCCAAUUCAAAGGAUGCUUAGAAUGAAGCCUCAAAAUGCGUCCUUGUUUCUCCACAUUGUUAAGGUUUGUAUCCUAACAGCCGAGGCUAUCCCAAGAUGCAUUGCGCACCUGUAACGGCUGAAUAUAUAUUUUUAAAUAAACAAUUAAAACCUUUAUUAAAUAGAAGUGUGUAUUUAUCAAAAACAUUUUUCUUGUCACUGUUUUAGUAUUAUAAGUUAUGUUUUGUGUUAAGAUUAUUUUUGUUUAUGUUGAUUCAUUUGAUAUACUAUUGAAUAGUUUAAUCUACAUACGUGACAUAUUUUCUCAAAUAAAUUAAUAUUUUUCUGAUUCCAUAUUUAUUUUAAUAAGUCAGAAAUGUCUCCGCUGUGUUCUGCUGUCCUCCGAAGGUUAAACCGUCUAAUUUCAGUUCUCUUUGCGAACUUUUGAGGCUGCCACCUUGAAAGACAGAGUGCUCACCUUUUAAGGUUGCAUGCUUAGAAGGUCACGGCCCUUGAAUUGGGACACAGCUCACAAUUCUCCUUACAUGGAAGUCGCUAUUUCUACAGUAGCCCUUAAUGGACAACCUGUUUCGUCCCUGCGAUGUCUCAGACGACGACAUGUUUGUCCUGUGGAGGCUACCGUAGCUUCUCUAUGCGUUCCGAAAGGGAGGGGUGAACCGUGGACUGAGCCAUUGGUUGCAAUUCACAAUCUCACCACUAGAUGCUGCUAAAAAUCUACACUGUGGGUUUUUAAAUAAUGUCUCUAGACCAGGGGUUCUCAAAGUUUACAUUCAAAGGUCCAAAUCUGAAUUCUCAUCUUUUACAUAGGUCCGAAAAAACUUUAUGAAAAUCAUUUGUUUAUAUAACAAAUCAACACAAAUAGUUUGGGAAAAACAUAAGUGUAUUUUGCAUUUAAACUAAAAAUAAUUUUUUAAACAUAAAC